rnacentral:tRNA from 1 species
GAGAGAGAACGCUGGAACUGCUAAUUCCACACCCCCAUAAUUAAUACUAUGGCUUUCUCA